rnacentral:rRNA from 2 species
UAUAUACUGUCUCAUAUAUAUAUUUAUGAAUUUAAAAUUUUAAUAAAAAUGUUAAAAUUUAUUUAUGGGACGAUAAGACCCUAUAGAAUUUUAUAUUAAUUUAAUUAUUUAAUUAAUAAAUAAUUUAAAUUAAUAUUUAAUUGGGAGGAUUAUUAAAUUUAAAAAACUUUAAUUUAUGAAAACUUUAAUUAAAGAAAAUUUUAUGAUCUUGAAUUUUAAAUUAUUAGAAUAAAUUACCUUAGGGAUAACAGCGUAAUAUUUUUUUAUAGAUCUUAUAGAAAAAAAUGAUUGCGACCUCGAUGUUGAAUUAAGA